rnacentral:rRNA from 1 species
UAUGUGAUCGUCUCUCGCAUAUCAAUAAGCGGAGGAAAAGAAACUAACAAGGAUUCCCCUAGUAACGGCGAGUGAAGCGGGAAGAGCUCAAAUUUGAAAUCUUAAAGGGUUUCCCUUUACGAAUUGUAGUUUAAAGAAGUGUUUUCUGUUGAGGUUUUGGUAAAAGUUCUUUGGAAUAGGACAUCAUAGAGGGUGAGAAUCCCGUAUUUGACCUUUACUUUCAACUUUGUGAUACACUUUCAAAGAGUCGGAUUGUUUGGGAAUGCAGUCCAAAAUGGGUGGUAAAUUUCAUCUAAAGCUAAAUAUUGGCGAGAGACCGAUAGCGAACAAGUACCGUGAGGGAAAGAUGAAAAGAACUUUGAAAAGAGAGUUAAACAGUACGCGAAAUUGUCAAAAGGGAAGCGUUUGACACCAGUGUUGUUUUUCUGAAAAUCAAUUAAAGAACUGUUUAUGCUAAGUUGUUUAGACUUUAUCAGCUAUCUGUUUAGUUUUGAGCUUUUCUUUAAUGCACUUUUCAGUUAACAAGUCAACAUCAAUUUCUUUUGCUGUAAAAAAGCUUGAGGAAGGUGGCUUGAGAUUCGUCUUAAGUGUUUAUAGCCUCUUGCCUAUGCAGUCGGAGAGAUUGAGGUCUGCAGCGUAGAUCCUUCGGGGCUAAAUGCAUUUGUGCUAAGUUAUAGCAUUUUAUAGACAACUUGUUGACUAUGAUUUGUCUUGUAGCUUACUCGCUUAUGUUAUUUUACCUACGCUUAGGAUGUUGAGUAGCGACAUACGCAC